rnacentral:rRNA from 1 species
UACGUAGGGGGCAAGCGUUGUCCGGAAUCAUUGGGCGUAAAGCGCGCGUAGGCGGCCCGAUAAGUCCGCUGUAAAAGUCCAGGGCUCAACCCUGGAAUGCCGGUGGAUACUGUCGGGCUAGAGUCCGGAAGAGGCGAGUGGAAUUCCCAGUGUAGAGGUGAAAUGCGCAGAUAUCAGGAGGAACACCAAUUGCGAAGGCAGCUCGCUGGGACGUUACUGACGCUGAGGAGCGAAAGCGUGGGGAGCAAACAGG